UGAAGAGAUAAAAAUAAUGAAACUGUAUGGUGCAGAAAGUGUUUUUUUUUUCAUUGCAGUUUCUGCUGCUGGGAAAGCGGUAGAUAACUAUGGCUUCUGUACCGUGAAAUGAAGCUUAUGAUAAAUAAAAUACUGCUGCUUGCUGGUCACUGAUUGAAGAUCGUUCAGUGGCUACCAUUGGCCAAUCUCACCAACGGGAUAUAAUAAGAACUGAUGCAGGUUUAUAUCUAUUCGGAACAAAGUUAGUACACUUUUUAAACCGAUGUUGGAUUUUUCUCCACUUAACUUUGGAAGUAGUGCGC